AAUGAUUCCUUUGGUAAUGGCGAAUGAAGAAGGAUAAGCUCCAUUGGUAAUCUGCACUUCAUGUGUAGACUUGUAUUUUUAAAAAGCAAUGCUAUUGGAAGUGUGUAUGUAAGACAUGUGGGAAAAUGUUGCAAAGAAGGUGAAACUCUUGUGUGUCAUGCGCAAGCUUUCAUGCAAAGCAUGCUUUUGAAAAUCGCAUUCUUUGGAAUUGGAAUGCAAAGUAGGUGGUAAAGUUCACUUGAAGCUAAAUAAAUGUUUGAGCUUGAUAGUGUAUAAGUACCAUGAGGGAACUGUGAAAAGAACUUUGGAAAGAAAGUUAAAAGUAUUUGAAAUUGCUGGUGGGAAAGCAAAUGGUAUGAUACUGUGCAGUAAGAUUGCAGCUUGCAAGCAAUAGGCAUUCUGUAUGCAAUGCGUGUGGAAUUGUCUGUUGCAAGCACACUGUGCAUCUUGCUGUGCAUGCCAACAUUGAAAUGCAUGUCAAUGCUAACUGCAUGGGUAACUUGCAUAGUGUGUGCUAGAGCCAUGCCUUGAUAUAGCAUGCAUUUUCUUUUCAGUUGUUACCUGGUCUGGACUUUUUCAAGGAUAGAUCUGGUUCAAUGCAUGCAUGUGAUUAUUCAUUUGGCCCGUCUUGAAACACGGAUCAAGGAGUCUAACACAUGUGCAAGCCUGUUGGUAAUUCGUUGGGGUGUAAGGAAAGUGACAGCUAGGAUGUGUGCACUGUCAGCCAACUGACCAAUUGUGAGAGGUUUGUGUUUGAGCAUUUGUAUUAGGACCCGAAAGAUGGUGAACUAUGCUUGAAUAAUGCAAAUUCAGGAGAAAUUCUGAAGGAAGCUUGCAGCGGUACUGACGUGCAAAUCGUUCGUCAAAUUUGAGUAUAGGGGCGAAAGACUAAUCGAACCAUCUAGUAGCUGGUUCCUCUUGAAGUUUCCCUCAGGAUAGCUGGAAUUGUAAAGUUUUAUCAGGUAAAGCGAAUGAUUGGAGGAAUUGGGGGUGUGUCGUCCUCAACCUAUUCUCAAACUUUAAAUGGGUAAGGUGUAUUAGUUAUUUUGUAAACUUUUAGGUGCAAUUGAAUUCUAUGUGGGCCAUUUUUGGUAAGCAGAAUUGGCGAUGAGGGAUGAACCUAAUGUUGGGUUAAAGUGCUUAAGUGCUCGCUCAUCAGAUAUCAUAAAAGGUGUUGGUUCAUUAUAACAGCAGGACGGUGGUCAUGGAAGUUGAAACCCGCUAAGGAAUGUGUAACAACUCACCUGCCGAAUGGACUAGCCCUGAAAAUGGAUGGCGCUCAAGCGGGUGACUGAUACCUAACCUCUGUGCGAUAUUUUGCAACAGGGAGUAAGGGGGUGUGGUAGU
rnacentral:rRNA from 1 species